GUGAUCAUAUCAGAACUAAUGCACCAGAUCUCAUCAAAACUCCACAGUUAAGCGUGCUUCGGCGAGAGUAAUAAUAGGAUCGGUGACCCUUAGGAAGUCCUCGCGUUGCACCCU